GGCGGAGUAGCUCAGUCGGUUAGAGCAGCGGAAUCAUAAUCCGCGUGUCGGGGGUUCGAAUCCCUCCUCCGCUAC
rnacentral:tRNA from 2 species